AUUGAACGCUGGCGGCAGGCCUAACACAUGCAAGUCGAGCGGAUGAAGGGAGCUUGCUCCUGGAUUCAGCGGCGGACGGGCGAGUAAUGCCUAGGAAUCUGCCUGGUAGUGGGGGAUAACGUCCGGAAACGGGCGCUAAUACCGCAUACGUCCUGAGGGAGAAAGUGGGGGAUCUUCGGACCUCACGCUAUCAGAUGAGCCUAGGUCGGAUUAGCUAGUUGGUGGGGUAAAGGCCUACCAAGGCGACGAUCCGUAACUGGUCUGAGAGGAUGAUCAGUCACACUGGAACUGAGACACGGUCCAGACUCCUACGGGAGGCAGCAGUGGGGAAUAUUGGACAAUGGGCGAAAGCCUGAUCCAGCCAUGCCGCGUGUGUGAAGAAGGUCUUCGGAUUAUAAAGCACUUUAAGUUGGGAGGAAGGGCAGUAAGUUAAUACCUUGCUGUUUUGACGUUACCAACAGAAUAAGCACCGGCUAACUUCGUG
rnacentral:rRNA from 1 species